rnacentral:ncRNA from 1 species
UUGGGGUGGGGGCGGAGAAUAGAGAACCCGGUGGGAAUCCGGGGCGGUACCGCCACUGUAAGUGCGGAGGUGGGUGCGGAAGUACGAAAGUCGGCCAUUGGGGGCAAGCCCCGAGAAGGCCCGCACUCCCCAUGGAUGCACAAGCCAGGAGACCUGCUUCGGC